rnacentral:miRNA from 1 species
UUGCUUGAAUGACGAGAUA